rnacentral:rRNA from 1 species
GAUGAACGCUAGCUACAGGCUUAACACAUGCAAGUCGAGGGGAAACGGCAUCGAAAGCUUGCUUUUGAUGGGCGUCGACCGGCGCACGGGUGAGUAACGCGUAUCCAACCUGCCCAUCACUUGGGAAUAACCUUGCGAAAGUAAGACUAAUGCCCAAUGACAUCCCACGAAGGCAUCCGAAUGGGAUUAAAGAUUUAUCGGUGAUGGAUGGGGAUGCGUCUGAUUAGCUUGUUGGCGGGGUGACGGCCCACCAAGGCAACGAUCAGUAGGGGUUCUGAGAGGAAGGUCCCCCACAUUGGAACUGAGACACGGUCCAAACUCCUACGGGAGGCAGCAGUGAGGAAUAUUGGUCAAUGGGCGAGAGCCUGAACCAGCCAAGUAGCGUGCAGGAGGACGGCCCUAGGGGUUGUAAACUGCUUUUAUAAGGGAAUAAAGUGGGUCACGUGUGACUUUUUGCAUGUACCUUAUGAAUAAGGACCGGCUAAUUCCGUG